UACGAAGGGAGGCUAGCGUUGCUCGGAAUCACUAGGGCGUAAAGGGCGCGUAGGCGGCGUUUUUAAGUCGGGGGUGAAAGCCUGUGGCUCAACCACAGAAUGGCCUUCGAUAACUGGGACGCUUGAGUAUGGUAGAGGUUGGUGGAACUGCGAGUGUAGAGGUGAAAUUCGUAGAUAUUCGCAAGAACACCAGUGGCGAAGGCGGACUCACUGGCCCGGUACUGACGCUGAGGUGCGAAAGCGUGGGGAGCAAACAGG
rnacentral:rRNA from 1 species